rnacentral:rRNA from 1 species
AUUGAACGCUGGCGGCAUGCCUUACACAUGCAAGUCGAACGGUAACAGGUCUUCGGAUGCUGACGAGUGGCGAACGGGUGAGUAAUACAUCGGAACGUGCCUAGUAGUGGGGGAUAACUACUCGAAAGAGUGGCUAAUACCGCAUGAGAUCUACGGAUGAAAGCAGGGGAUCGCAAGACCUUGUGCUACUAGAGCGGCCGAUGACAGAUUAGGUAGGUGGUGGGAUAAAAGCUUACCAAGCCGACGAUCUGUAGCUGGUCUGAGAGGACGAUCAGCCACACUGGGACUGAGACACGGCCCAGACUCCUACGGGAGGCAGCAGUGGGGAAUUUUGGACAAUGGGCGCAAGCCUGAUCCAGCAAUGCCGCGUGCAGGAUGAAGGCCUUCGGGUUGUAAACUGCUUUUGUACGGAACGAAAAGCCCUGGGUUAAUACCCUGGGGUCAUGACGGUACCGUAAGAAUAAGCACCGGCUAACUACGUGCCAGCCGCCGCAGUAAUAC